AUGGCGUCAGAGCGAACGCUAGCGGAAUAGCUUAAUACAUGCAAGUCGAACGAAGAAUUAAAAUAGAGUAGCAAUACAAGUUGAAGUCUUAGUGGCGAACGGGUGAGUAAUAUAUAGGAAUCUGCCCAGUAGUGGGGGACGAACAGUUAGAAAUGACUGCUAAUACCGCAUACGCCCGAGAGGGGAAAGAUUUAUCGCUAUUGGAGGAGCCUAUACACGAUUAGCUUGUUGGUGAGAUAAAAGCCCACCAAGGCAGUGAUCGUUAGCCGGUCUUAGAGGAUGAUCGGCCACAUUGGGACUGAGACACGGUCCAUACUCCUACGGGAGGCAGCAGUAGGGAGUUUUCGGCAAUGGGCGAAAGCCCUGACCGAGCAACGCCGCGUGAGUGAAGAAGGCCUUCGGGUUGUAAAGCUCUGUUAUAGGGGACGAAGGAAGUGACGGUACCCUAUAAGGAAGCCCCGGCUAACUACGUGCCAGCAGCCGC
rnacentral:rRNA from 1 species